rnacentral:rRNA from 1 species
UACGAAGGGUGCAAGCGUUACUCGGAAUUACUGGGCGUAAAGCGUGCGUAGGUGGUUUGUUAAGUCUGAUGUGAAAGCCCUGGGCUCAACCUGGGGAAUUGCAUUGGAUACUGGCAGGCUAGAGUGCGGUAGAGGGUAGUGGAAUUCCCGGUGUAGCAGUGAAAUGCGUAGAGAUGUGGAGGAACACCGAUGGCGAAGGCAGCCCCCUGGGUCAAGAUUGACGCUCAUGCACGAAAGCGUGGGGAGCAAACAGG